UUGGUGAGGGGCGGUCAAACGGCGGUGAACAUCAAUGGUGUAAUUGACCCGUUCUUUAGGAACAAGAGGGGUGUCCGUCAAGGGGACCCGGCGUCCCCACUCCUUUUUAACUUUAUUGCGGACGCUUUCGCACGUAUGCUGGGCCGGGCCAAGGAGGCGGAUCAUAUCUUGAGGGUGGCCGCUAGGGUGGUGCCUGGUGGCAUUAUUCACCUUCAAUACACGGACGAUACGUUAAUUUUCAUUAAGAAUUGCGAGAGGGAUAUUUUGAAUCUCAAGUUUUUUCUAAUGUGCUUUGAGGCGAUGUCGGGACUUAAGAUUAACUUUGACAAAAAUGAGGCAUUUGUGACUGGUGGGGAUUUGGAGUCGCAACUGCGCGUGGCUCGUAUGAUGAAUUGCCAGCUCGGAUCUAUCUCGAUGAAGUAUUUGGGGAUGCCAAUCUCGGCCCGAGCCCUUUCGAUGGUGGAUUUGGAUCCUAUGGUUGAUAAGGCGGCAAAGAGGGUAGAACCGUGGCAGGGGCGGCUCCUAGCAUCGGGUGGGAGACUGUUGCUCAUUAAUGAUUGUCUUACCAAUAUCCCCAUGUUCAUCAUGGUCUUCUACCUGCUUAGAGAUGGUGUCCACGCCAAGCUGGACAAAGUACGAUCUAGAUUUUUUUGGGCAAAGGAGAACGGGAAGCAACGAUACCAUAUGCUGAAAUGGGAGCACAUGCGCCAAAGGAGAAUGGGGGUCUCGGAGUUAUCAACUCCAAAGUCAUGA
rnacentral:rRNA from 1 species